ensembl:lncRNA
GGCUGGCUGGUCCUGGGGCUGGCUGCUGAUGAGCUGGUUGCUGACGGGCUGGUCCUGGGGCUUGCUGCUGAUGAGCUGGUUGCUGACGGGCUGGUCCUGGGGCUGGCUGCUGGGCUGCUGGUUGCUGACGGGCUGGUCCUGGGGCUGGCUGCUGAUGUGCUGGUUGCUGACGGGCUGGUGUGGUGGUUCAUUUAUUUACUAUCAAAUGAGGAGAGACAAACGUAUCACACAAGUCAGAGUUAUACUUAAACUACAUCUUUAUUCACUUAUUAAGAAGGGAGCAGGUCAACACAACACACACAUAAAAAGUGAAUCGAUUGAGUGCUCUACGAUAAUGAUGGCUGGUCGACAAAUCACCCCCAGAUGAUUUGUUGAGAGCCCCGAGACAAAAGUACAAAGGUCUUUUAUAGCCAAGAUACACCCCCUUCGACCUACAUGACGAACAACAGAUGUAUAGAAUGGGUCACAAGGUUAAGAUUUGUAUGAAAGAUACUUAUAAUUCACAGCAGAGAGUAUCUCAUUAUGUAGAGACCAGGGUCUGGCUCUGGAGUCGUCUCUCCCUGGUACCUUAUAAAACAGAAACAUUCACUCAUGUUCUGGAAUGCGGUAUCCCCAAAGACAUCGUAUAUCGCCUGUCAGUGUUAUCUCCCAGAGGCCCAUCCUCAGUAGAACACACACAGAUGAGCGUUCUAACAACCCCUUAUUCUGUUGCAAAAAACAACCAUUUGAUGCAAUAAAAGUAUUAUAACAAUCUUGUAGUUUCCACCAUACUGGUCUUGGGGCUGGCUGAGGGUCAAUCUCAUCCUCUUCUUCCAACUCACUGUCAGACUCCGAAUUGACAGAGACACGAUACUCAUAUUUGGAAAAUUCUUCAUCUUCCAAAGUGGAAGACGCUCCUUCCACACUAGCUUCUCUCUCUGCAAAAAUGAUUUCCAAAGCCUUAUGAGCAGAGAUGAUUUUUGCCAUAUUAAUUGAUUGUGGUAAGGAGCCACACAUGCAGAGCUAUUUAUUUGUUUGUGUCCCUCCCCCAAUGUGCACCUGGCUGGGGUAGAGUUUGGGAAAAUACAGACCUUUUUACAAUGUCUAGAAAUAAUGAUUUGUAAAAACAUUGUACAGGUUCCCGCAAGACAUUGUGUAGUUUCACACACUACAAAGGGUAAAGAGUGUGAGGAAAGCGGGAGACAGGCAGGCAGACAGACAGGUUCUUGGUGCUAUGUUGAAACAACAGGCCCAGGGAGGAGGACGACAGAGUGAAGGCACACAGUACAUUUUUUUUGUUACAUUUUUACUUGUUUUCACCUACACACACACAAUUUUCCACACUUUUAUUGUGUUUUGGGCGUCAACAGCUGGUUUGAUAUCCAGCUAUAUCCUUCCUCUCAGCCUGGGCUGUCAGAGAGAAGAAACAAGUAAGCAGGAGGCAACAAAAACAGAAGAGGAAGUACAAAACUAUGGAAGACGAUGUGGGUUGGAAUUUCACAAUGAUGGAAUUUUGAGUAACUGUAUGUCUCUGCAAGUUUCUUUAGAUAAAAGCAUCUGCUGAAUGACAUUUUUAUCGACUACAGAGGGAGCUGGGUUUAUAUGCUAGGAUAGCUGUGUGUUAGCAGGAUAGAGGAACGAAUUGCACUGUUUUACAAACAGGAAACACUUCAGUUAUCUGUACUUUCAGAAGGAGGUAGAGCUAAAAUAUGGACUGCAUGAAUGAUACAUAAUUGGGAAAAUAAACACCUAGGCAAAUUUCACAAUGAUUUCAGCUUAGAAUAAAUGGCACUUUGGAUGUGCUUUAUGAAGUGCUUAGUAUAAAGUACAGCAUUGUACUCUGUGCUUCCAAUGAACACUGAUUAUACUCUAAUAAUACAAACAGAGUGAAUUGCUUCCACAUAGUAUACGGUGGUACAUACAAAACAUACACAUAGAUAUAGUGCUGCCCGUUCCAGGCACUGUGUAUCAAUAUUACUUGACAUGUUGUUGUUCUACCAGUAGUUUUACAGCGUACAGUUCUCUAACUGUACUUGGGAUGGACGCAAAUAUAUAAACUAUAAAUGGCUUGAAUGAAUCUCUAUAUAAAAUGUUCCAUUGUAAGAGUGAAAUGGAAAGUCAGAGAGAGAGUGAUGGGGAUGGACGGAGAGAUAAAAGAGAAAGGCAAAAGUGUUGAGGAUCCUUGUCUUCAGGGUCCUUUUGGACAGGCUGAGAACUCGAUGUACUCUUCAUUCUGAAACACAGAAGGAGAAAGAGUUCAAAGUUGAAUCUGGAGCAGUGCUGUUCAAUACAAAGACCAGCUGCGAUAACGUCAAAGGAAUGCUGGUUUUGCAAUCUCUGCUACUAAUCCACAUACUGCAUACAGGAAAUGUUUGCAGGCACCAAGCUGUCAUCACACCAGACAUCACAGACAUUCACAAAAGCCAGGCAGACUACCA